GCUCGUAGUUGGAUUUGUGAUGGAAUUUGAAUACUUUUAAAGUGUUUCAGAAACUGUCAUCUGUGGGUGGAAUUUGUUUGGCAUUAGGUUGUCAGGCAGAGGAUGCCUAUCCUUUACUGUGAAAAAAUCAGUGCGUUCAAAGCAGACUUACGUCGAUGAAUGUAUUAGCAUGGAAUAAUAAGAUAGGACCUUUGUACUAUUUUGUUGGUUUGUGUAUAGAGGUAAUGAUUAAAAGGAACAGUUGGGGGUAUUUGUAUUCCAUUGUCAGAGGUGAAAUUCUUGGAGUUUUGGAAGACAAACUACUGCGAAAGCAUUUACC
rnacentral:rRNA from 1 species